rnacentral:rRNA from 1 species
CCUACGGGUGGGCAGCAGUGGGGAAUAUUGCACAAUGGGGGGAACCCUGAUGCAGCGACGCCGCGUGAAGGAAGAAGUAUUUCGGUAUGUAAACUUCUAUCAGCAGGGAAGAAAAUGACGGUACCUGACUAAGAAGCCCCGGCUAACUACGUGCCAGCAGCCGCGGUAAUACGUAGGGGGCAAGCGUUAUCCGGAUUUACUGGGUGUAAAGGUAGCGUAGGCGGCGAUGCAAGUCAGAAGUGAAAGCCCGGGGCUCAACUCCGGGACUGCUUUUGAAACUGUGUUGCUAGAUUGCAGGAGAGGUAAGUGGAAUUCCUGGUGUAGCGGUGAAAUGCGUAGAUAUUAGGAGGAACACCAGUGGCGAAGGCGGCUUACUGGACUGUAAAUGACGCUGAGGCUCGAAAGCGUGGGGAGCAAACAGGAUUAGAUACCCUAGUAGUC